ACGGGUGAGUAACGCGUGGGAAUCUACCCAUCCCUACGGAAUAACGCAUGGAAACGUGUGCUAAUACCGUAUAUGCCCUACGGGGGAAAGAUUUAUCGGGGAUGGAUGAGCCCGCGUUGGAUUAGCUAGUUGGUGGGGUAAAGGCCUACCAAGGCGACGAUCCAUAGCUGGUCUGAGAGGAUGAUCAGCCACAUUGGGACUGAGACACGGCCCAAACUCCUACGGGAGGCAGCAGUGGGGAAUAUUGGACAAUGGGCGCAAGCCUGAUCCAGCCAUGCCGCGUGAGUGAUGAAGGCCUUAGGGUUGUAAAGCUCUUUCACCGGAGAAGAUAAUGACGGUAUCCGGAGAAGAAGCCCCGGCUAACUUCGUGCCAGCAGCCGCGGUAAUACGAAGGGGGCUAGCGUUGUUCGGAAUUACUGGGCGUAAAGCGCACGUAGGCGGACUUUUAAGUCAGGGGUGAAAUCCCGGGGCUCAACCUCGGAACUGCCUUUGAUACUGGAAGUCUGGAGUAUGGAAGAGGUGAGUGGAAUUCCGAGU
rnacentral:rRNA from 1 species